GCCAGCAGCAGAUCAGGGCACUGUUGCCCAUGCGAUGGCAGAGCUGGUUUUUCCAGGUGUAGCAGCGACUGUUUGGCUCCUGCUUAAAUGAGGGAAGGGAAACCCAAGCAGCAGAACGAGUCCUUUGGCUCUGGGGGCUCUCUGGGACUAAAUGCGCUGGGAAGUUCCUUUGUUUGUUUGUUGUUACCCACUUCCGGGUGUCUCCCUCCUGGGCUCCAAGAAGCGCCACCAGGCCAGAUCGGCAAGGCUUUCGCAGUACUGGAGGAGUCCCUGGGCGUAUCCAAAGGCAGCCCGAACAUUAUUAAUACAAGAUGUAGCACCAAGGAGUUGGGCUCGCUCAAGAUGUGCUUUCUUGGGCAAAUUACUCCUGCUGGUGUUGGAGAUGCCCUCAGAGUCGGUGAAGGUUAAAGAAGCUUUUUCAUUGUUCUCCUCUCAGAUAGAAUGUCCAUAAUACAAUGCCUGGACCUUUCCCUUUUUCUGUUUUUAAAGUGUGGUGUGGCCACUCCUUGUAGAAUGCUACUGAAGACCUUUAUCUGGUGGCCUGGAAGAAGCCCCUGGGCCAAGGGUGCUCACCUGCUCCCCCCAGAAGGUCCUGCACCACCACUCUGUACUCCUGUAAGGCCGGGGCUUUCUGGUUCAGGAGCACCUGGGCACUCCUGCUGCGGACUGUAGCCAGCCCUCCUUGUCCUGCCAUUCUGUGAAGAGCAACGCCAUGCAACAACCCUUCCUUUCCGUGCAAUCCUGCACGCCUAACAGGUUUCUCUGGGACCCAGCAUUGUUCGGGAUGCGCCCUGGAAGCCCCACACCCGGCAGCUCGCGGCAGCAUCUGAUGCACUCUUGGGAGGCGCCAGCGCCCAGAAGCAGCUAAUCCCUGACCCAAGAGCCACCCUGGUGGAGGAGCAUCUUUGCCAUCAAGCGGCCCAGAGCCAGGACCUCCUCCCACGCGUCUCGGCUGAGAGAGUCUGCCUUUGGGGGAAAAGACGGCAGUUUGAAUAAGCUCCGUGAUCGUCACAUGGACAGGAACCCUUCCAGCAGCGGGUGCACAGCAGUGUUUAGAUGCCCGCGUUUGGCAGGACAGAGUAUCCACCGGUCGGCAGCUUACAAGCUUCCAUAUGCAAAAUCACACCGAGAUCAAAAUAAUCCAGGGACCGGCAUUGGGCUCAAAAUAAAACCGCAAAGGAACGACA
rnacentral:lncRNA from 1 species